UACCAGCACCCCGAGUGGUCGGGACGAUUAUUGGGCCUAAAGCAUCCGUAGCCGGUUUUACAAGUCCUCCGUUAAAUCCACCUGCUUAACAGAUGGGCUGCGGAGGAUACUAUAGAGCUAGGAGGCGGGAGAGGCAAGCGGUACUUAGUGGGUAAGGGUAAAAUCCGUUGAUCCAUUGAAGACCACCAGUGGCGAAGGCGGCUUGCCAGAACGCACUCGACGGUGAGGGAUGAAAGCUGGGGGAGCAAACCGG
rnacentral:rRNA from 1 species